CUCCGGGCUCCAGCUCCGGUGUUGGGUGUGUUCUUACUUUGCGGAUUUUACCACCCUGGAAUUGUUCCGUACGCGCAGGCGCGCGGGGCUCUCCCGUGCACUCUCUGCUGAGCUAGCGGACUGCCCGCCUCUCUAAAACGUCCUGUAACUGCGGUUCCGGGAGUGGAAACCUAAACGCGCGUGCGCUUCUUCCACGCCACGGAAACCGUGCAGGCCUGGUGUGGUCUCCAAAGUGACUGAACAAUGCAGAAGGACAGUGGCCCACUGGUUCCUUUACAUUAUUAUGGUUUCGGCUAUGCGGCCCUGGUGGCUACUGGUGGGAUUAUUGGCUAUGCAAAAGCAGGUAGUGUGCCGUCCCUGGCUGCUGGACUCUUCUUUGGGGGCCUGGCAGGCCUGGGUGCCUACCAGCUGUCUCAGGACCCCAGGAACGUGU
rnacentral:lncRNA from 1 species